GAUAUUUUAUAUUAUUCAGUUUUUAAAUAUUUAAUAUUCUCUAACAUACUCUAUAUUAAAAUAUUAUCGACAUUACUGAAACUUAAGAAGAAAACGGCGAUGACCGAUGCGGUACAAUCGAAAACCAGCCUAUCUCUUAUCCGUACUCAAAAAUAUUAAGUAGAACAAUAUCUAGGCGAUCCUUAUCUCUGGUUACGAAUGUGAAAGAGUCUAGAUAGCAGACCCGAUUAAUAGAAAUGUGAUAACGCACGCCUACGUCACAAACCGCGUCAGCUAUCGUCAAGUGCAUCGUCUUUAUGCGAUGUAUUAACCUACGCAUUGUGUUUUCUCGAAAAAUUUAAUAAAAUAUUAUCGUAUCUUUUGUUAUAUCAUGAAAAAAAAUAUUCUCUAAUAUUCUCUCCAUUAAAAUAUUAACGAUAUCAUUGAAAAUCAAAAAGAAAACGGCGAUAAUUGAUGCAGUACCAACGAAAACCAGAGACUGUUCUAUUUGCAGGAGACCAUACUUUACUGCAAAAUAUUUGCGUAAUGCAGGCGCAUGUAUUUAAUGACGCCAAAGUGGAGCUUAAGAGAUUGGAUACGAUCAUUUACGCACCGAAUA